CCCCGUUCUAAACAUUGAUUCUACUUCUGGCAUUUUCUUCUUAUUGCCUUUCAAUUGAAUUGAGUCUAGUUUCCACUGUUUUUUGUAAUCAGGUUUUUGUUUGAAAAAUUCAAAUUCCAGCAACCUUCUUGUAGGAUUGUCAAAAAAGAAAGAAUGGUAUUUAUUAAAUCUUAAAUAUUACUUCCUGUUACAUCAUGAGAGCCAUGACAUGAAUGUCAAUUUCUGCAAAAGUUUGAUGCACAUCACGGAGGUUUUGCAGCAUUUUUAAGUAUUUUUUUGCACAAGAUUGAUCGAAUUGAAUGCAACAAUGAUUAGCACACCUGAAUAUAAAGGAUUGGAUUCAAAUUUUCUGGACAUAUAUCAAAAGAAUUACUUCUUUUUCUCAUGGAAUUAUUACAGUUUUCCCCGUUCUAAACAUUGAUUCUACUUCUGGCAUUUUCUUCUUAUUGCCUUUCAAUUGAAUUGAGUCUAGUUUCCACUGUUUUU